rnacentral:rRNA from 1 species
GACGAACGCUGGCGGCGUGCCUAAUACAUGCAAGUCGAGCGAAUCUUGAGGUGCUUGCACCUCUUGGUUAGCGGCGGACGGGUGAGUAACACGUGGGCAACCUGCCUGUAAGACUGGGAUAACUUCGGGAAACCGGAGCUAAUACCGGAUAAUCCUUUUUCUCUCAUGAGGAAAAGCUGAAAGUCGGUUUACGCUGACACUUACAGAUUGGCCCGCGGCGCAUUAGCUAGUUGGGGAGGUAACGGCUCACCAAGGCGACGAUGAGUAGCCGACCUGAGAGGGUGAUCAGCCACACUGGGACUGAGACACGGCCCAGACUCCUACGGGAGGCAGCAGUAGGGAAUCUUCCGCAAUGGACGAAAGUCUGACGGAGCAACGCCGCGUGAGCGAUGAAGGCCUUCGGGUCGUAAAGCUCUGUUGUUAGGGAAGAACAAGUAUCGGAGUAACUGCCGGUACCUUGACGGUACCUAACCAGAAAGCCACGGCUAACUACGUGCCAGCCGCCGCCGUAA